rnacentral:rRNA from 1 species
UCCACCGGAGCUUGCUCCACCGGAAAAAGAAGAGUGGCGAACGGGUGAGUAACACGUGGGUAACCUGCCCAUCAGAAGGGGAUAACACUUGGAAACAGGUGCUAAUACCGUAUAACAAUCGAAACCGCAUGGUUUUGAUUUGAAAGGCGCUUUCGGGUGUCGCUGAUGGAUGGACCCGCGGUGCAUUAGCUAGUUGGUGAGGUAACGGCUCACCAAGGCCACGAUGCAUAGCCGACCUGAGAGGGUGAUCGGCCACAUUGGGACUGAGACACGGCCCAAACUCCUACGGGAGGCAGCAGUAGGGAAUCUUCGGCAAUGGACGAAAGUCUGACCGAGCAACGCCGCGUGAGUGAAGAAGGUUUUCGGAUCGUAAAACUCUGUUGUUAGAGAAGAACAAGGAUGAGAGUAACUGUUCAUCCCUUGACGGUAUCUAACCAGAAAGCCACGGCUAACUACGUG